rnacentral:rRNA from 1 species
UACAGAGGUCUCAAGCGUGUUCGGAUUCAUUGGGCGUAAAGGGUGCGUAGGCGGCGCGGUAAGUCGGAUGUGAAAUCUCGGGGCUUAACUCCGAAACUGCAUUCGAUACUGCCGUGCUUGAGGACUUGGAGAGGAGACUGGAAUUUACGGUGUAGCGGUGAAAUGCGUAGAUAUCGUAAGGAAGACCAGUGGCGAAGGCGGGUCUCUGGACAGUUCCUGACGCUGAGGCACGAAGGCCCAGGGGAGC